rnacentral:sRNA from 1 species
GACUAGAGCUGGAGACACCAUCCUUGGUGCCUGUGAAGAAGAACGCCAGCACAGUGGUGGUUUCUGACAAGUACAACCUUAAACCCAUCCCCCUCAAACGUCAGAGCAACGUAGCUGCUCCAGGAGAUGCUACUCCCCCUGCAGAGAAGAAAUACAAGCCACUCAACACAACACCUAAUGCCACCAAAGAGAUCAAAGUGAAGAUCAUCCCGCCACAGCGUGAGUCUAAAGUGGGGAGAUGUACUUUGAAUUAGGAGCAAACUCUUUUUUUUUUUUUUUUUUUUUUUUUUUGGAGACAGAGUCUCACUCUGUCACCCAGACUGGAGUGCAGUGGCACGACCUU